rnacentral:rRNA from 1 species
GAUGAACGCUGGCGGCGUGCCUAACACAUUCAAGUCGAACGGAGCCAUCGGAUUAAUCCUUCGGGAAGCGUCUGAGAAGCUUAGUGGCGGACGGGUGAGUAACGCGUGAGCAACCUGCCUUUGCAACCGGGAUAACAGUUGGAAACGACUGCUAAUACGGGAUGACGUACACGGGUCGCAUGGCCUGUGUACCAAAGAUGCGUCGUGCAAAGAUGGGCUCGCGUCUGAUUAGAUAGUUGGCGGGGUAACGGCCCACCAAGUCGACGAUCAGUAGCCGGACUGAGAGGUUGAACGGCCACAUUGGAACUGAGAUACGGUCCAGACUCCUACGGGAGGCAGCAGUGGGGAAUAUUGGGCAAUGGGCGAAAGCCUGACCCAGCGACGCCGCGUGAGGGAAGAAGGUCUUCGGAUUGUAAACCUCUAGUUGACAGGGAAGAAGAAAGUGACGGUACCUGUCGAGGAAGUCACGGCUAACUACGUG